UGAUGAAUGGGAGAGAGAGAGAGAAAGCGUAAGCCAUGGGCCCACAGGAAUAUAACCGUUAAGGGCCCGAUGGAAAUCGAAGCUUCUGAUUUUGACUUAACCCGCUGAGAGAAUCUGAUUUGUCACACUUGAGAUGAAGCUUGUGAUUUGAUAGACUUUGAUUGAGAUCCUUAAGUAAUUAUGUCAUGCAGAAGAUGGAUUUUGGAACACAGAUAGGACAUUUCUUAGAGAUAAGAGGUUUUGAAAAGAAUAUCCAAUCAUGUAGCCCUUGAGAUAAGAUUUAGAGAAGAUCCUAUGGACUUUAGAAAGUUUCACCAUUUGUAGUUAGCCAGCAAACAAGCAAGAAUAACCCUAACUACAAAUGGGUCAACAUGGCCACAAAGACUAAGAUCCAAAUGGUUUUGCAAAAAGCACACUUCCUAUCAUGCUAGUUAAAUUUUUUUGAAAAUUUAUCCUAUCUCACGCAGAGCAUACAAUGAUCAUAUAGACAAGAUAAGAGUAGUUAUGUUUAACUCAUGCCCUCUUUCACCGAUUAAAAGGACAUAGAACAUAUUCUAGUCAACAAAGAUAGAGAGGCAUCAAUUAAAUAUCCAAAACCCAUCCCAAC
rnacentral:lncRNA from 1 species